UUGUCUAUAAAAAGGCUGCACUUUGCCAAACAUUGUGACAGAACCAAAUUUAGGGAUUCGCUCACCCAUCCUCUGCGGGGAGAGGAGCGAGUGCAGCCAUGUUCGGGAUUGGGAAGAAGCUUGCGGAGGAAGCCACGCAACAGGCUGAAAGCGCUGCACAGGUGGCAGCAAACACAGUGGGCCAGACUGUGCAGCAAGCAGUGGAACAGGCCAAGGAUGCUGGUCAGAAAGCUCUUGAUGAAGUCUACAAAGUUGCUGAAACCAGUGAAAAAGCUGUAAAAAAUGUAGCGAAUCAAGCAACUUCAUGGGGCAAAAGCUUUGGACAAUGAAGAUAAAAAUGUACCACCACUGAAAUUUUUGUAAACAAGUUUCUACUACAUGUACUCUUAAAUAAAGAAAAUACUUACCCUCUAC
rnacentral:lncRNA from 1 species